AAUCAACGCUGGCGGCGUGCCUAACACAUGCAAGUCGAACGCGAAAGCCCCUUCGGGGUUAGUAGAGUGGCGUCCGGGUGAGUAACACGUGGGUAAUCUGCCUUCGGGUGGGGAAGUAACCCAGGGAAACUUGGGCUAAUACCGCAUAAUGCAGCGGCACCUAAUGGUGAUUAGUUGUUAAAGCGGGGGAGUCGCAAGACCUCGCGCCUGAAGAGGAGCCUGCGGCAGAUUAGCUAGUUGGUGAGGUAAUGGCUCACCAAGGCUUCGAUCUGUAGCUGGUCUGAGAGGACGGCCAGCCACACUGGCACUGACACACGGGCCAGACUCCUACGGGAGGCAGCAGUGGGGAAUCUUGCGCAAUGGGCGAAAGCCUGACGCAGCGACGCCGCGUGAGGGAUGACGGCCU
rnacentral:rRNA from 1 species